CCAAUACGUCAAAGAUCACGUAUAUUGAACCUUUGGCCGAGGACAACAGUGGGGAAACAGUAACCGUUUCUUUGGUUCGCGGACACAAGACGGAUGAAAGAUUGCCAGCUGGACAAUACGACAUUUUAUAUGGGGCACGUGACAAAGCGGGGAAUGAGGGGCGUCAUUGCAAAUUUUCUAUUAUAGUGAGAGAUAUAAAAUGUUCCAAGAUUUAUCCCACCCCAUACAUGCGCGUUUCCUGUCCAUAUGGUAUUCGUACUGGUGCAAUCUGUCAUAUAUCUUGUGAUCCUGGAAAAACGCUUCUUGGCAUCGACGUUGUAUCCUGUGAUCAAAGUAUAAAAGGCCUGUACGGGGAAUGGAACUGGAGAAAUGACACUCAGUCCAUGUGCAAAAGUACAAUAAAAUGUAAACGACUAAUCGCACCUAAGAAUGGUGCAGUUGCAUGUGACAACUGGCUAGGCGGGGAAUUCUGCCAAGCUCAAUGUCGAAAUGGAACGGAAAUGCCAAGGAUUAAUCUAAAGCAAAUUUACGUAUGUGAUAAGGUCGGGGAAUGGCAGCCUGCGGCAAACUUUAAACCGU